ACAUGCUUUUACAUAAAAAUCCUUCCAGAUUAAAGUGAAGUGUUAUGAAGUUUAGUACCUGCACUUAAAUCUUAAGUAAUCGAAAGACAAAAUAGUUAAGUCAAGCACGAUCCCUCCUGUUUAUACUUCACCUUUGUUCCAGAGUUUUUCAUAAGUUUUCAAAAUAAAAUUCAGAGUUCCCAGCAAUGAUUCUCUCAAGUCUCUCUAUAUGUGGUAUUUGUGGAUCCUUACCAUAAUGUCACUUACCUAUAGCUAAUGGAAUAAUUAAGUGGAGCUCAUAGGAGUGCAAACAGCUCAUACAUAUGUUGUCUAAUCGAGCCAUGGAUCCAAAGGAACUCAGCAUAUAAUUAAAUCAAGAUGUGCAUGUGUGGUGGAGUAAAUGAUAGUGAUGGUGAUAGUGUUAAUAAAUCUUAGUUCUCAUUGCUCCUCAUAUUGCUAUCUCUCCUCUUCUUUUACCUUUGCCUUGGGAGAACAUGGGCUAUCUUUUCUCUCUUUUUUUUCAGGUGGGUAAUAGAUACCCCUAAUUCUACUGUCGGACACUUGUCCAUUUUUACCUCUCAAGUGGGCAUCUUUGUACCCCUAAUUCUACUUCGGACACUUGUCCAUUUUUACCUCUCGUCUCACUCUUUUUCUUUUAUCGAGGUUCCGGGCACUUGCCCCUUUUUAUUUCCUCGUAUAUAUUUUUUUUUGCAUAACCCAUGCCUCUUCUGCAUUGAAUCCUUUUAGAGAGAGAGAAUAACAAUAUUCGGGACAGUGAGUGAUAAUAUUUUUAGCAAUUUUAAUGAUUGAUAAUGAAUGCUGUGGUAGAUGCGUGCAAGUAAAUAUCUUAAUUUAACCACAUGAAAAACUCCUAAGGGUCAACACAGCUCGAUCAAACUCAAUGUGAAUAUAGUAAAGAUGUUAUAGCAAGUAUGGUUGUGGUAGGUAGUUUGUUAUGCUAGGAACUCAUCAUGUGAUUUGUAAGUUUUCAAAAAUAAAUCUCCAGAACUUAGUGUAGUAGGAACGAGAUAAACAGUAGCUCAACUUUAUAUCAUGCCUUUCUCUUACCUAGACUUUAGUUUAUGCUUUCCCAAAGAUAGUAAUUUUAGUUUUAGUAAUUCCUGGAAGAAUUCU
rnacentral:lncRNA from 1 species